GGACGACGCUGCUUCGCUGCUUCACGAACUGAUUUCCUUUUGACGACAAGAAGGAAGAAAAUGGUAAUGUCUGUUGAUCUGUCUGCCCCAUAUCACCUCUAUUUAAUGUGAUUGCGCUGCGAAAAUAAUUGGGAUAAGCAGAAAAAUUCUAUAAUAUUUUCCUAGUUUAGGUCUUUGGAGUAGAUAAAGCUGCACUGGCAGGAGCCUUAUGCUAAUUUUUCUCUUUGUUGGAUGCUAAACAGUGAUGAACAUGUCAUUUAAUGGUCUUUCAUUACCUUGUUUCAACUUUAUUGGCUGUUCUUUUGUAUGUAUUGGUGGGUUUAUCUUUUUUAUUUUCGUUGGUCCUAUUUGUUCGUGAAAAUGUAUUAUGCUUUUCAGUUGCUAUCAUUAGUAGUGCUAUCUCUUGUGGGCUUUCUUAGUUAAGCUAGAUUUUUUUUUUAUAUAGUUUUCUUAAGAGCAAUUGGUGAAUGAAAUCAUGUUUAAACAUAAUUGUAACACAGUAUGAAUAACGUAUAUCCAUCAAGAGUUUUCACCUCACUUUAACUUGAGAAGUGAUAGAUAUGUGAAAAUUUUAUCAACGUUUAUGGAAUUGGGAAUUUUUAGAUGGCAUUUGAAGUUAAUUUGGAAAUUUGACAUUUUGGAUGAGAAGAAGACAGCUUGAUACGUAGUUUGACGUUUCCUCAAUGCUAGUAGUUGACAUGCAAUCAAGGCAACGUUGUUGUGAGUGGGUUUAGAAGUAAUGAUUCAAACAAUGAGCUUCAGGAAAUGGUUUGAUUCAGCUAAUUUAGCUUUCUUGUUGGAGAGCUACAUUUCAGUUCGCUUCAGUAUUUGGAAUCUGUUCAUCUAAACAAGAUGUUAUUUCUAUAAUAAUAGUUAGAAAGCUUCAACAACUACAAGAUAGGGCCCAAAUGCAGUGCCUUAAGUAAGCCAAAUGUUAGAUGGGUUUUUCUUGAGGAAAUUGGAUACCCUUCCAGCAGAGCCUACAUUUUUUUUUUAUUUGCAGCAUGGCUUGGCUAUGUAAUAUCUGAUGACAUUUCUGUGUGGUUGCUACUUGCUAAACAAAUGCUUUGCUUUUUCACCGUCUCCUGAUAGUUUCUUUUUGUACAUAUGCUAUUUCUUUUUUCCAAUGUCUUAUCAAACUUUUGUAGCACCCAAUAAUCGGCAUUUUCUAAUUCCUUCUGAUUAUGCUUUGCUUUCUCCUCAACAGCCGAAACAGAUCCAUGAAAUCAAGGAUUUCCUUCUCACAGCAAGAAGGAAGGAUGCCCGUUCUGUCAAGAUCAAGCGAAGCAAAGAUGUGGUGAAGUUCAAGGUUCGCUGCUCCAAGUACCUUUACACACUUUGCGUGUUUGACUCUGAGAAGGCUGACAAGUUGAAGCAGUCUCUUCCCCCUGGUUUGAGUGUCCAAGAACUGUGAAGAAACAGACUCACUUGAGUUUUGGCCUCAUGAGAAGUGAAGGAUCUAAUAUUUAUACCUUUCUUGGUUUUUUCUUCUUUGAAAAAUGUUUUCUUGAUUUUGGUGGUCAGAUAUUUUGAUGCCUGUCAUGAGAAUGUAGACUUGAGUUGUUGGAGAGCUUAAUAGGAAUUCCUUAAUGCUUUGAACUUGAUUUAUUGCUAUUAUGAUCUUUGUUCUUUUUUCCCAUUUAUGAAUGUCAACAAGGUAUUUGCAAAUUGGUGGUUGG
rnacentral:misc_RNA from 1 species